rnacentral:rRNA from 1 species
GAUGAACGCUGGCGGCGUGCCUAAUACAUGCAAGUCGAGCGAACAGACGAUGAUCUUGCUCCUCUGACGUUAGCGGCGGACGUGUGAGUAACACGUGUAUAACCUACCUUUAAUACUGGGAUAACUUCGGGAAACCGUAUCUAAUACCGGCUAAUAUCUUGAACCGCAUUGUUCAUUAGUUAAUGACGGUUUUGCUGUCUCUUAUAGAUGGUUCCGCGCCGCAUUAGCUAGUUGGUAAGGUAACGGCUUACCAAGGCAACGAUUCGUAGCCGACGUGAGAGGGUGAUCGGCGACACUGGAACGGAGACACGGACCAGACUCCUACGGGAGGCAGCAGUAGGGAAUCUUCCGCAAUGGGCGAAAGCCUGACGGAGCAACGCCGAGUGAGUGAUGAAGGUCUUCGGAUCGUAAAACUCUGUUAUUAGGGAAGAACAAAUGUGUAAGUAACUAUGCACGUCUUGACGGUACCUAAUCAGAAAGCCACGGCUAACUACGUG